AUUAUUAUUAUUAUUAUUAUUAUAGGAUGUUAAAUUACGACUAUACCCUUAUUAGUUUCUAUCACAAUUCAGAUGAUUUCCCUGUCACGGUGCAUUUGUUCCGACUUCUAAUCAAAUGCUUGCAAAGCUCCUCUCAUGGCCUCACAAAACCCUAACCAAAACCCCCAUAUCUUCUCCAUUUAGUUGUUUCUCUCGUUUCAUAAGCCAUACUUUCUCUGAUGACCCAUAUGACCCUCCAUUUACUAUCGCCUCCAAACCCACGAAAUCCAAACACAAACCCGAAAAGACGCCCAAAAACCCUACGGAGCCGACUGAAAACCCGAUUAAGGACCUGAAACUCCCAUCAAAAUCUGACCUUCCUUUUGACUUCCGAUACUCAUACUCGGAGUCCAACCAGGCCAUUGAGCCAAUUGGGUAUCGUGAGCCGAAGCGAUUUUCGCCGUUCGGGCCUGGACGCCUUGAUAGGAAAUGGACAGGAACUGCAGCUCCGGUCCAAUCGGAGGUAGAUAUGGAAAAGGUAAUAGAGGAGAGGAAUCGGACUCUUGGGGAACCGCUCACAGAGGAGGAGGUGGAGGAGCUCGUGGAGCGAUAUCGGCACAGCGAUUGUUCCAGGCAAAUUAAUCUUGGUAAUUUCUGGUCUAAUCAUGCGAUAUAAGUGUUCUGUAUCUUACCAGCAAUGUAUAUGGAUUUCUGAUCCUGAUAUAUUAGGUUUUUUCUGAACUUGGAGACUUAAAGCUACUUACGUGUAUAUACUAUUCCUAGGGCUCUGAGUUUUAUAUUGUGUUAGGGAAGGGGGGAGUUACUCACAACAUGUUGGAUGACAUUCACAAUCAUUGGAAGAGGGCUGAAGCUGUGAGGAUCAAGUGCUUGGGAGUGCCUACUCUUGAUAUGGACAAUGUCUGCUUCCAUCUUGAGGUGUGCUUCAAAUUCAGUAUCCUUGGAUUUAAUUUUUUUGUUAUUUUUUGAGUUUUCGGAUAUUAUCAGCUGAUGUAGAUGGUGGCGGCUCUGUAGGACAAAUCUGGUGGAAAGAUUAUCUACAGGCAUAUCAAUAUCCUUCUUUUAUAUAGGGGUCGAAACUAUGAUCCAAAGAACAGGGUUAUUAUACCUCGCAUGUUGUGGAAGCCUUAUGCUCCCAUAUAUCCAAAGCUUGUCAAGAAUAUAGCUGAUGGCCUGACGUUUGAAGAAACAAAAGAAAUGAGAAAUAGAGGACUAAAUUCUCCCGCCCUAAUGAAACUGAGUAAGUUAAUUAUAUUCCUCAGGUGUGAUAGAUUAAUGCUUCUAUUGUUGAAUCAGAACGAGUGGGAUUUUUUAAAGGCACAUUUAUUCAGCCAGGAAUGGUGUGUAUGUGAAUGUGGUGGAGAGAGUGAGAGAGGCCUUCAAGACCGAAGAGUUUGUGAGAGUAGAGUGCACCCAUGUUGGCACCAGCGAUUGCAAAAAGAUAGGUGUGAAGCUAAGGGAUUUGGUGCCUUGUGUUCCUAUUUUAUUCAAGGAUAAGCAGAUUAUAAUCUGGAGAGGCAGAAGAGAUCAGGAACUGGACUUAUAACUUCUUUAAUGGCAGACCUUUACAUACUUGAGCAGGUUAUAAAAUUGGCAAGGUGGGAUUGCUGCAUAGCAAAUUUUGAGUCAGCUGCAGAUUGGAGUUGCUGUUCCUUCCUUGUACUUGACAGCGGGGAUUUUGCUUUUUCUGCUUAGAGGCUGAAGUCUUCUUGUAUAUUGGUGGAUUGACCUGUUGUCUGACAUGUGUUAUCUUGUUCAAAAUUGCACUAGAAUCUCAAUUGUAAAAUAAUCUGGAUGUCCUUGAUUUUUGCACGCACGUAUAGAAAUCAUGAAUUUUGUUGUCUAAUGACAUGAAGAUAGGUGAGAUUAGAAUCUAAACUUCUGUAUCGUAGACAUUGAUUAUGAAUCAGAUGGGGGGACAGGGCAGAAAUUCGCUGUCCUGGAGCACCCAACUGUUAAAGAGGGUCUGAUAAUUACGGGAAUUGUUAAUUUAAAUGAGAAACUCUCUGAGCAAAAUAUUUGAUGUGA
rnacentral:misc_RNA from 1 species